AUUGCUCAUCGGGUUCACUCCUCCUCCCAGAACCCGAUGACGAAUACGGCAUCUCCUCCUCCCAGCCGUAUUCAAGAUCAGGCCGCGCAUCCUCCUCCCGCGCGGCCUUUUUC
rnacentral:sRNA from 1 species